rnacentral:rRNA from 1 species
UACGAAGGGGGCUAGCGUUGUUCGGAAUUACUGGGCGUAAAGCGCACGCAGGCGGCUCGAUAAAUUAGAAGUGAAAGCCCCAGGCUUAACCUGGGAAUUGCUUUUAAGACUGUCGGGCUAGAAUCCAGAAGAGGGUAGUGGAAUUCCGAGUGUAGAGGUGAAAUUCGUAGAUAUUCGGAAGAACACCAGUGGCGAAGGCGACUACCUGGUCUGGCAUUGACGCUCAUGUGCGAAAGCGUGGGGAGCAAACAGG